CAAAAAUAAAAUCACUUUGUUCACAUAACUAAAUUGAUUUGCGCUCGCAUAGUCAAGUAUUGAUUGUCCAAAUACGACUUUUCCAACUGUAUUAUUUGUUGUUUGGUGAAGAUUGGUGGCUUUCGAUUCUUACGAAAACUUUGAACAACAUUGUUGGCAGUGCUUUGUAACCAUGGGGGACAUAAAAUGUCUGCAAAAAGAAGAAUCGCAUCAAUUAACCAACAAGAAAAAUUCCUAAAUUUGAAAAAGCUUCAGAUAUUGAGAUUAUGGUAUCAAUUAAACAGUUUUUAGCAGGAUCUAAAUUUAGGGAGGUAACAAAAAAUAUCCCCACAUUCGAGGUGAUACAUCUACU
rnacentral:lncRNA from 1 species